CUCUUGCUCUAAUCUCCAACCCCCAUGCUCCAACAGCUAAAAAUCCUAACAUUGAAAAUGGAGCAAGUAGCCUAGAAACAGUAACACCAGAUAGUUUAGACAGAAGUUUAUUUCCAUUGAGGGAAGUACCCACCUUUAAUAAAGAAGGGAAAUUGGUGCCUGUGAGACACUAUACACCUUUUAAACCUGAUGAUUUAGAAAAAUUCAAGCACAAUGUUCAAUCAUUUGAGGCAGAACCAAUGUUGGUUAUAGAAAAAUUAGAAAAUAUAUUCAGAAACUUUGACCCUUCUUGGUUGGAUGUGGAGAAUUUGUUAGAUACAUUUCUGACAAAGAGAGAGAAAAAUAAUGUCAUCUCUCUAGCUAAUAAGAAAAGUGGUAGAGGAGCUCAUCACUGGCCAACUGUAGAUCCACACUGGAACCCUAAUAUUGUACAGGAUCACACAAAACUAGCCCUGGCCAGAGAAGCAUUAUUAAAAGCCAUGAGAGACUGCUCUGAUAGCCCUGAUGCAUGGGAAAAAUUUGAACAAUCCCGGCAGGAAAUUAAUGAGUCCCCCUCCCACUUUAUGGACAGACUUAUUGACGUAGGAAGUACAUAUAUGGACCUUGAUUUGUCCAGAGAAAAAGACAUUAAACAUAUACGCAGACAAUUCGUUAGGAAUUGUUGUUCAGCAGUAAAAGACUACUUUGAAACCAGCUGUCCCAACUGGGAGUCUAUGGACCUCGAAGAACUGAGGAAAGUAGCAACAUAUGCCUAUAAGAAUCGUACAAAAAAACCUGAGACACACAAUAAAUCAGUAUCAGACUUAGAAAAAGAAAUUGAAAUUUUAAAGGAACAAUUGAAAAGUAAGGGAGAGACCAUGGCCCCUUUGCAGGAAUCCACAGAUAGAUCAUUAACAAACCCCUUAAUAUGCCUCUUCUGUGGGAAGAGAGGCCAUGCAAUGAUAGUCUGUAGGAGCAGACUACGGGAAACAAGAAAUAAUAACACCUUUAGGAAUAAUAAAUAUAGGAACCACAAUGCCAAU
rnacentral:lncRNA from 1 species